UUUAAAAACUAGUUUCGGGAAUUUCAAAAUAAGACCCGCAACAAAUUGGGCUUAAAUGAAAUGAAAAAAAAAAGGGAAAACAAAGAGGCCCAUAUUAGUAGUGGCCGGCCAUGGAGGAAAAUAUAGGGCCCAAGCCCAUAAAAAUUUUAAAAUUCAUGUGAUAAAUAAAUAGAAGGGUCCAUCACUUAGUCAUUAUGCUUAGAACUUUCAAGACAAAAAUUUUGAGUGCAAGAGCCAAGGGGUAUUCGGCCAACCAAAAGAAAAAAAAAUUGAAACCUUCCAAACUUUGAUCCAAAAUUUCUUCCUUCUUGAAUUCCCACUAAGUUCAAGACCCCCUUCAACGUGGUAUGAUUUUUUAGGCAAGAAAGUACUUUUUUUUGGAAAGUGGAAAAAUUGGAAAAAGAUAGUGGAGAGCCCGAGACUUGAGUCGAGAUCUGUUUGGCAAGUGAUCGAGAAUUGUUAGUGAGCGAUCGAGGUACGGACGCUCGUUUUGGUGAUCCUCCAAUAUAGGAUACAUAUUCUGCCACUUGGAUUACUCCUUUUGAUCCGGAGCUCAUAUUUUUGGUACAUCUCUUCUGUUAUACAUAUUCUGUAUAUACGACUAUUUGGGUACGGCGGGGCCCUGUCCCGUCAUAUGUUUCUGUCAGGGUUUGUAGAGGCCUGUAGUCAUAUAUGUGGGUCAUGGGUCAUGUUUGUUCGUUGUGAUUAUGAUAUGCGUCUUAAUGCGGUCCCGUUUGCUAUUAUGGCCAAAACGGCCCCUUUGUUAGUAUAUGUGUAUAUAUCUGGGCGAUGUGUAUUCCGCCAGCUUACCGGAUUUGAUAUGAUGUUUCUGUACGGGCGACCGCUUAAGACGAUAUUUGCUUUCAG